rnacentral:rRNA from 1 species
UGCAGUCGACGGUAACAGGAAAAAGCUUGCUUUUUUGCUGACGAGUGGCGCACGGGUGCGUAACGCGUAUACAAUCUACCUCUUACAGGGGGAUAGCCUUUGGAAACGAAGAUUAAUACCCCAUAGUAUUUACAAUUCGCAUGUUUUGUAAAUUAAAGUUUCGGCGGUAAGAGAUGAGUAUGCGUUCUAUUAGCUAGUAGGUGUGGUAACGGCACACCUAGGCAACGAUAGAUAGGGGCCCUGAGAGGGGGAUCCCCCACACUGGUACUGAGACACGGACCAGACUCCUACGGGAGGCAGCAGUGAGGAAUAUUGGACAAUGGGCGGAAGCCUGAUCCAGCCAUGCCGCGUGCAGGAAGACUGCCCUAUGGGUUGUAAACUGCUUUUGUACGGGAAGAAACCCAUCUACGUGUAGAUGGCUGACGGUACCGUAAGAAUAAGCAUCGGCUAACUCCGUGCCAGCAGCCGCGGUAAUACGGAGGAUGCAAGCGUUAUCCGGAAUCAUUGGGUUUAAAGGGUCCGUAGGUGGAUUGGUCAGUCAGAGGUGAAAUCCUGCAGCUCAACUGUAGAACUGCCUUUGAUACUGCCAGUCUUGAAUUAUUGUGAAGUGGUUAGAAUAUGUAGUGUAGCGGUGAAAUGCAUAGAUAUUACAUAGAAUACCGAUUGCGAAGGCAGAUCACUAACAAUAUAUUGACACUGAUGGACGAAAGCGUGGGGAGCGAACGGGAUUAGAUACCCCGGUAGUCCACGCCGUAAACGAUGGUCACUAGCUGUUCGGACUUCGGUCUGAGUGGCUAAGCGAAAGUGAUAAGUGACCCACCUGGGGAGUACGUUCGCAAGAAUGAAACUCAAAGGAAUUGACGGGGGCCCGCACAAGCGGUGGAGCAUGUG